rnacentral:rRNA from 1 species
UACGUAGGGUGCGAGCGUUAAUCGGAAUUACUGGGCGUAAAGCGUGCGCAGGCGGUUCGCUGUGUCCGAUGUGAAAGCCCCGAGCUUAACUUGGGAAUGGCAUUGGAAACUGGCGGGCUGGAGUGCGGCAGAGGGGGGUGGAAUUCCACGUGUAGCAGUGAAAUGCGUAGAGAUGUGGAGGAACACCGAUGGCGAAGGCAGCCCCCUGGGCCGACACUGACGCUCAGGCACGAAAGCGUGGGGAGCAAACAGG